GCCGCCGUGGUCGCUAUGGUGACCGGGGCGGGCGCAGGACCGCGGGCAGGGCGCGUGCGCGGGGAGCGGGCCCGCGGCCCCUCAGCUGCGCUCGACAUGGCGCUGAGGCGAAGGCCCUCGUUGGUCCUGCUGCUGUUGCUUGUGCGGGGCUGCUUGAUCGGGGCUGUGAAUCUCAAAUCCAGCAACCGAACCCCAGUAGUUCAGGAAUUUGAAAGUGUGGAACUAUCCUGUAUCAUUACGGAUUCACAGACGAAUGACCCCAGGAUUGAAUGGAAGAAGAUCCAGGAUGAACAAACCACCUAUGUGUUUUUCGACAACAAGAUUCAGGGAGACCUGACCGACCGUGCAGAGCUGCUGGGGAAGACGUCUCUGAAGAUCUGGAACGUGACGAGGACAGACUCGGCCCUUUACCGCUGCGAGGUGGUUGCCCGGAACGACCGCAAGGAGAUCGACGAGAUCGUCAUCGAGUUGACCGUGCAAGUGAAGCCGGUGGCCCCAGUGUGCAGGGUGCCAAGGGCCGUGCCUGUGGGCAAGGCAGCCACCCUGUCCUGCCAGGAGGGCGAGGGCUUCCCGCGGCCGUACUACAGCUGGUACCGCAACGACGUGCCACUGCCCACAGACUCCAGGGCCAACCUGCGCUUCCGAAACUCCUCUUUCGUCUUAAACCCUGAGACGGGCACUCUGGUGUUCAGCGCCGUCCACAAGGAGGACUCGGGCCAGUACUACUGCAUUGCAUCCAACGACGCGGGCUCGGCCCGCUGCGAGGAGCAGGACAUGGAAGUGUAUGACCUCAACAUCGGCGGCAUCAUCGGGGGGGUCCUAGUCGUGCUGACCGUCCUGGCCCUCAUCACAGGGGGUAUCUGCUGUGCCUAUAGACGUGGCUACUUCAUCAGCCACAGCCGGAACGGGGAAAGCUACAAGAACCCAGGGAAGCCAGAUGGAGUUAACUACAUCAGGACAGAUGAGGAGGGCGACUUCAGACACAAGUCCUCGUUCGUGAUCUAGAUGGUGGCACGGCUGUGUGUACACGCAGACACCUCCAUGGGGAACCCUGCCAGGAGCAGCCCUGCAAGGGGCGCCGGAUGGGGCUAGACACGCACACAAAAGCUUUUGUUUUGGCCAAAGUUGACCGCUACUCCUUUCUUACUUUUUAACAAGCUACACGAAUAAAAGAGUUUUCCUGGAGAUGAGCAAGUCACCAGAAGGCGAGGAAGUGGCCGGGUUCACGAAGCCAACCCCGUGGGGUCUGCUGGCCUUGAGGUGGGCCGCCUGGGCUCAGGAGGCACGGUGACCUGUCCCAUGGUGGGGCCACGCCAGCAUGAGCAUCCAAGGCUGGCAGCCAGGGUCAUGACCUGAGCCUUGGCUGCAGUGACGGGGCUUCACGGUGGCCCCGGGGCCACUUCAUCCCCAGGCUUUGCCAUGAUAGUCCUGGUGUCCAUCCGGGGGAUUCUGUUUGGGUCAGCAUUUUAUAACAGCAGCCCAAAUCAGGACAGUAAACAGCUUGUUAGAAGGAGGGAUCUUCUUAGCUGUGGGAACCCUGCUCAUCUACAGAGGGUCCCAGCAUUGGAGAGCCUUCAUCUUGUGCUGAAUCUGAAAUGGUACUGACAUGAUGUUCUGCUUUUCUAUGGGUGUUUAUUUUAUAAAAUUUUACAGUCUAAAUUUUUGCUAAAGAUGUAUUUUGAUUAUUGAAAAUUUCUAUUUAAAUUGUAAAUAAGUUGUCAUAUGCUGUUAAAUACUGUAUCUUUUUUUUUUUUAAGUUCAACUUAAACUAGGAGCCCAAACUGCUCCUGUUCAAUUGGAAACACCACUGGUGGCUUAGGAAACCUUUGAGAAAACUCCAGCUGAGUAACCUCAUGGUCUAUUUGUGUCUGUGCAGAAGAGACGCAGGGCUCCUGGAUGACCUUCCCUGGGCCUACCCCCACCCCUAUCCCAGGCCCUACGACACAGGUGCACCAGCCGCAUGCCUAUUCGGAGCAGUAUUGGCUCCUGAGUCUCCAGGCCAGCCCUCCUGCCCUCAUCCACCUGAUGCCGCGACCGUCCUGGCCCUCAUCACAGGGGGUAUCUGCUGUGCCUAUAGACGUGGCUACUUCAUCAGCCACAGCCGGAACGGGGAAAGGUGGGCAGAACAGCUGUGACAGUGCCGUUCACCUGCCAUGUAGGUCCACCCAGGAUAGCGCCAAGGGGGCUGGAAGAGUGGGGUCCUCCAUGUGGCCCCCCAGCCUGGCUUCCCCGGGCCCAAGUUCUGUGGCUGUGCGUGGCUCAGUAAACCCAGCAGCCCUGCUGUCAGGCCUUUAAAUUCCUUCUACUUACUCAUGCAGGCGUCCCUUGUGCCUCAGCUGGUAAGAAUCUGCUUGCAGUGUGGGAGACCUGGGUUCAGUCCCUGGGUUGGGAAGAUCCCCUGGAGAAGGGAAAUGCUACCCACUCCAGUAUUCUGGCCUGGUAAAUCCCACGGACUGUAUAGUCCAUGGGGUCGCAAAAAGCUGGACACGACUGAGCGACUUUCACACACACACACAACUUACUCAUGCAGUUCAAGGGACGGUCCAGGGCCAAAGGCAGUUUUGAAAUCAGACCUGUCAACCACAUUUACGUUUGUUUCAAGACAGUGACCCCCACUGUCCCUCUGCCAUGAAGACAGCGCAGGUUCCAUCUCACCUCCCAGCAGGCUGUUGUUCAGGGUCGUGAAGCCAGCCUCUGAUGAUGGCAGGAAGGGUAGCCAGGCGACGGCCCAACUGACAGUGGGCAAAGCAUGAGCCUGGAUCCAAGACAGUUUCCUGGUGGUGAUGAAGUCUUUGUCCACCCGGCCUGCUGCCUGCUUCAAGGGGCGUCAGGAACACCAUCCAGAGGCCUUUGCUCCCUGUGAACAGGCGUUCCUAGCCUCAGACACACACUGCAUUCACUCCUGACGUGAAGCUCUUUGGAGCAGGAGCUUCGCAGAAGGUUGCGCCCGCUCAUCUGUCACCGGAUGGUUUUCACGUAGAAGAACAUAGUCAUCGUGGGGUUAAAUGUUUAGUGUCAUAAUUUUUUAUACUUUGGGUUUUUUAAUUGAACACUCAAGACUGUGUUGACCUUUCUUUUCUAAGUGGUGUGGACACUCUGCCAUGAGAACUGGCAGCAGCAGAAGGCAGCCCCUCAUCUUGCGGGGGUAGCAUCUUCUCUGAGUUUGUGACUUGAAAGCACAGACCUGAGAGGAUCCUUCCUUCUCAACUCCUCUCAUUGGAGAGGGAGGCACCCUCUGUCCUGAGGGCAGCUCUGGUGACUGGGUGGCCUUCUUGGACCCUAAAACCUCCACCCUGCUGCCCCAUGCCCUGGCUCUGACAGAGGAGAGGGGUAUGAAUGUGGGUCUGGAAGGUUGCUGCCCAUCACUGCAGACAUGCAGACAGAAAAGGAGCCUCGGGAGAUUUUAAGGUGUAAACAUGGAGCCUGGAGGCCAUACCUGCCGCUGUGGCCUUGGCGUGGCUGCAGCUGCGCCCGGUGCCACAGACUUGUGCUACUAACACACCUGUACGUUGGUGUUUGUUAAACCUCAUUUAUAAAAGCUUCUAAAAAAAAAA